GCUGGCACUCGCAAGNNGACGCACCAGCUUGAGGGGCUGGCACUCGCAAGAGUGUGGGGGUUCGAAUCCCCCCUUCCGCACCA
rnacentral:tRNA from 1 species